rnacentral:misc_RNA from 1 species
AACGCACAUUGCACUCCUUUGGAGUAUGCCUGUUUGAGAAUCUAUUGUAUUCAUUUUCUGUACUUUUUUUUCAAGAGUAUGGAAAGAUUUGAGGUUGUUUCUGAUGCCCGACUUGUUUUGGGGGGAAGAAUGCCUUUAAAUAGAUUAUCUGGUACGUACGACUUUGAAAUGUUUGACGUUUCUCGACAGUUUCCUGUACAGAAAAGUAUGUGAUUGGAACUUUACGGUUUAUCAUUAUGUUGAAUACGUGCGGGCAGAAGAAAAUAGUUUAAUGUUUUGAUGAUACUGUGUGCAUAACCUAAUAAAUAGAGAUGGGCUUUAUGCCUAGCUUUUUUUGAACCUUGGUCUCAAAUCAGGUAGGAAGACCCGCUGAACUUAA